AGAUCUACAGCUAAGGUCCCAAAUGAACACUAAGUGGAAAAUGAUGUGAAACUGCGAAGACAACCAGGAUGUUGGCUUAGAAGCAGCGUUCAUUCAAAGAGUGCGUAAUAGCUCACUGGUCGAGUGACGCUGCGCCGAAAAUGUAUCGGGGCUAAACGAUUCACCGAAGCUGUGGAUGGACACUUUAAGUGUCCGUGGUAGGAGAGCGUUCUAAUUGCUGUGAAGUCAGAUCGUAAGGACUGGUGGAGCGAUUAGAAGUGAGAAUGCCGGUAUGAGUAGCGAAAGAUGAGUGAGAAUCUCAUCCACCGAAUGACUAAGGUUUCCUGAGGAAGGCUCGUCCGCUCAGGGUUAGUCGGGACCUAAGCCGAGGCCGAUAGGCGUAGGCG
rnacentral:rRNA from 1 species